rnacentral:rRNA from 1 species
UACGGGGGGAGCAAGCGUUGUUCGGAUUUACUGGGCGUAAAGAGCUCGUAGGCGGUUUGUCGCGUCUGCUGUGAAAACUCAGGGCUUAACUCUGAGCUUGCAGUGGGUACGGGCAGACUAGAGUGCGGUAGGGGAGACUGGAAUUCCUGGUGUAGCGGUGAAAUGCGCAGAUAUCAGGAGGAACACCGGUGGCGAAGGCGGGUCUCUGGGCCGUAACUGACGCUGAGGAGCGAAAGCAUGGGGAGCGAACAGG